GGGUCGGUGAUGUUAAGGGGAGCAUACUGGUUUUGCACGCCAGGUGUCUGAGUUCAAGUCUCAGUCGAUCCA
rnacentral:tRNA from 2 species